rnacentral:rRNA from 1 species
GAUGAACGCUGGCGGCGUGCCUAAUACAUGCAAGUCGAGCGAACAGAUGAGGAGCUUGCUCCUCUGACGUUAGCGGCGGACGGGUGAGUAACACGUGGAUAACCUACCUAUAAGACUGGGAUAACUUCGGGAAACCGGAGCUAAUACCGGAUAAUAUAUUGAACCGCAUGGUUCAAUAGUGAAAGACGGUUUUGCUGUCACUUAUAGAUGGAUCCGCGCCGCAUUAGCUAGUUGGUAAGGUAACGGCUUACCAAGGCAACGAUGCGUAGCCGACCUGAGAGGGUGGUCGGCCACACUGGAACUGGGACACGGUCCAGACCCCUACGGGGGGGCGCCGGAGGGAAUCUUCCGCAAUGGGCGGAAGCCUUACCGGGCAACGCCGCGUGAGUGAAGAAGGUCUUCGGAUCGUUAAACUCUGUUAUUAGGGAAGAACAAAUGUGGAAGUUACUAUGCCCGUCUUGACGGUACCUAAUCAGAAAGCCACGGCUAACUACCUG